UACAGAGGUCCCAAGCGUUGUUCGGAUUCACUGGGCGUAAAGGGUGCGCAGGCGGCCGUGUGUGUGAGGCGUGAAAGCCUGGAGCUUAACUCCAGAAUUGCACCUCAAACUACAUGGCUAGAGCAUUGGAGAGGGUAGCAGAAUUCACGGUGUAGCAGUGAAAUGCGUAGAUAUCGUGAGGAAUACCAGAGGCGAAGGCGGCUACCUGGACAAUUGCUGACGCUCAGGCACGAAAGCGUGGGGAGCAAAAGGG
rnacentral:rRNA from 1 species